CGGGGUGCAGCAGGCGCGAAACCUCUGCAAUAGGCGAAAGCCUGACAGGGUUACUCUGAGUGAUUCCCGCUAAGGGGAUCUUUUGGCACCUCUAAAAAUGGUGCAGAAUAAGGGGUGGGCAAGCCUGGUGUCAGCCGCCGCGGUAAUACCAGCACCCCGAGUGGUCGGGACGAUUAUUGGGCCUAAAGCAUCCGUAGCCGGCCACGCAAGUCCUCCGUUAAAUCCACCCGCUCAACGGUUGGGCUGCGGAGGAUACUACGUGGCUAGGAGGCGGGAGAGGCAAGCGGUACUCAAUGGGUAGGGGUAAAAUCCUUUGAUCCAUUGAAGACCACCAGUGGCGAAGGCGGCUUGCCAGAACGCGCUCGACGGUGAGGGAUGAAAGCUGGGGGAGCAAACCGGAUUAGAUACCCGGGUAGUCCCAGCUGUAAACGAUGCAGACUCGGUGAUGGGAUGGCCUCGAGCCAUCCCAGUGCCGCAGGGAAGCCGUUAAGUCUGCCGCCUGGGGAGUACGGUCGCAAGACGGAAACUUAAAGGAAUUGGCGGGGGAGCAC
rnacentral:rRNA from 1 species